UGGGAUGAUGAUUCAUUAGACUAGAGUCUCUGAAACACCAUGAAGAUGUCUUCACAGUGCACUGACCA